rnacentral:rRNA from 1 species
UACAGAGGGGGGCAAGCGUUGUUCGGAAUUACUGGGCGUAAAGGGCGCGUAGGCGGCCUUCUAAGUCGAACGUGAAAUCCCCGGGCUCAACCCGGGAACUGCGUCCGAUACUGGGAGGCUUGAAUCCGGGAGAGGGAUGUGGAAUUCCAGGUGUAGCGGUGAAAUGCGUAGAUAUCUGGAGGAACACCGGUGGCGAAGGCGGCUACCUGGACCGGUUCUGACGCUGAGGCGCGAAAGCGUGGGGAGCAAACAGG